CUUAAGGCAAUUUGACCUAUAUCAAAUUUGGCACCGUUGCCGGGGAUCGACCCGGGUCACCCGCGUGACAGGCGGGAAUACUUACCACUUAGUACAACGACCCAAUAUAGUGGUAAGUAUUCUCGCAUGUCACUCGGGUUCGAUCCCCGGCAACGGCGCCAAAUUUGAUAUAGCUCAAAUCGCCUUAAG